GGGCAAAACUGGCUUCACGCUGCGUCCGCGCGGGAGGCCGGGGUGGGCCGCGCCCCUCCGGGAAACCAGACGCAAGGGGGCGUGGCCAAGCACCAAGCUCCGCCCACCACUGCGGCCGAAGUGGGAGGGGGCCCUGCAGCUGGAGUAUGUCUUUCCCAUAAAUUCCAGAGCGGAUGUCUAUUGUCUGAUGCGUUUCUGCCUGUGACUCCAAUGAAAAGUGAAAACCACGAUGUGGAUAGGCCCACAAGGUGCUUUAUGAAUUUUUCUGGAUGUGUCGUAAUAUCACCAUGAGGCAGAGAUGGCACUGUCUCCCGUUCGGCUAUCAGGUAAAGAAGACAUAUUUUGAAGAAAAAAUAGCUGAGCUAAGGAGGAAAAAGAAGAGCCAGGAGAUAACAUCCUGGCUGCGGUCAUGAAGGAGGCAGCAAUCGAUGACCUGAAGGGCAACUGCAAGAUCAGCAGAUCCUGUAGAGAUGCAGCCUCAUGAAGGGGGAGGUAGUAAGCCAGGCAGCAACACAGAGGAAAAGCGAUCUGAGCAGUGGAAAUCUUCUAGAACAGGAAGUGGACGACAUCUGCCCUUGACAGUUUUUAAGGAGCUGGAUAAGGAAAUGAACGAUGCUGGUCCCUAGCCCUGACAGCGAUUGCUAGGAUCUGAAGACCCUGCUUGGAAAGGAAGCCUGUCUUCAUGGUAACUAGAAGCAGAGAAAAGAAGCUAAAAAUCAAGAUACUGAUGUUGUCUUGGUGGUCCUUUCAUACUCUUAAGGUUUCUUACAUCAGAGGCCUUGUGCCAGGUCCAAUUCCUGAAGCUGCCUUUCCUUCCUGCUCCCUCUUGCUGUACCAGUAAAUUCCCUGAGACUGACUCUUGCUUGAGAUGUUAUUUGUAUAUAAGGUUUGUUCCACAAA